ensembl:lncRNA
AUACAGAAUAUUUUUUUAAAUGUAAAUCAUCAUACAACAAUAUCAUGCUUAACUGCCAUGCUAUAAAAUAAUUGUCAUGAUAUAAAAUAUACUAUAUUUUUAAAAUGUAAAUCAUAAAAUAAUUGUUUAAUUGUCAUGCAAAUAGUUAUGGCACUGCAGUAAAUAAUUUUUUUUUUAAUUUAUUUGAAGUAAAAUAUUAGACAGAUAUUUUCUUGACUCUUCAGCUUUAUGAGAUUCAUCUCCUUAAAAUCAAAUGUCACAGUGAUCAGUUUCCCUCACUGGAGUUUCAAGUUCAACAUGGAUGUUAUUGUGCAUGAAAAUUAUAUACAGAGAGAGCAAGCGAUAUUAUAUUAUAUUAUAUUAGCAUUCCAUGCGGCUGAAAUUCUUCUCAAUCAGGGGAAACUGAUUACUGGUUGUAUUUCAAUCAGAGAGACACAAUCAGUUUCGAAUUUUUCUUUUCGAAGCAAACAGCCUGAAACCAAAGACUGUGGUCGCCGUUGCACCGAGCAGUAAUGUAGAUUCUUUUGCAUGUGUUUUGUCAUUUUCAAAGCUUUAUUCCUGAGUAGAAUUGAUUUCUGCUUACCGAAAGGACAUCAGGAAACCAAAAACAGUGUUGCACGGUCAAUCGUUUAUGACUUUUAAGCAAACCAAAGAGGAUGGAUUUCAGCGUUUUGUUUCCUUUCAUAACUUUUCUCACUGGAGGAGAAUUAUUGUAUUGUGUUUUGUUCGUUUUUUCGACAGGGGAUAAAUUAUUUACCCUGGAUUUUGUGAAAGUACUGACUAAAUAUUUGGUUUCACUUUCCUGCUGAAGAAAAGGUCUUCGCUGGUCUUGCAGUCUUUUCAAAGAUCUAGUUAAAAAGUCUUCAGGCCGAGACCAGCUUGGGCUUGUUUUCAGCAAGGUUUGAGGGCAGGAUUGAUGUUUUUGAUAUACAUUUCAAUAUGCUUUAGUGUUUUAGAACAAUAUUGAUUGUUGUGUUAAAUUGUUAACUUCACAUGGGGUUUUUCUUUGUGUGUGCAAGUGUAAUGCCAUGCAGUUUUUUCAGAUUUCUUUGCGAAUUAGAAACGCAACAUCAUAAAACAUGUCAAAUGUUCAGCAUCUGCGUGUGCUGAAGACCUCUGUUAGGGAAAAACUCAGGUUGCUGGUCAUUUUUACCCAUCCACCUUAAAUAGGUGAUUGUGCUCAGGAAAUAAUAUCAGUAUAGUUUCAUGUCACUUUAUUCAUUGCUUAAACUGUCUUGAUUUUCAAUUGAAUUCUUUGCUAUUAUUCUUCUGUUGAAGUAGUUUGUUCUGAAUUGGUCUGAACUGAAGGGAAGAAGGAGAUCUUUGUAAACUCCUCAAGCAGUGAUGGUUUGGUUUCCAUCACACUGCGGCAGUAAAUGUAUCUAUAAGCCUUAAAAACGGAAUGUAUUUCUUAAUAAAUAAAAUUCCACUUGUCAAUAUUCCAAAUACAUGUACCAUGUGUUUACUGAAGUUUUUUUUCUGUUCAGCAAUAUGGUGUAAUGUUUAUGCCAAAAAGUAUACAUUUACAAAAGUUACCCCCACCACAAAUAAGAUUGUUUAUUUAGAAUGAUAAAAAUGUUGACUUUUUUCAUGUGUUUUCGUGUAUUUAUAU